GAUACCCGGAAGUCCAGCAAAACCGCAAACGCCGCUUUUAAAAAGCUGCACCGAAUGAACAUGCUAGCUGGCUGUAGCUAAUGGCACCGUAGCGUUCACACUAUCGUUUAGUGCUGUUGUAUUAUUAUCUGGCGACGUUAUUAACGACCUGCUAUUUAAGGGCUGUUAUUAAGAAGUGAUCUUGUUGAAACUCGCCAUGUUGUGGCUGCUGUAAUACAUUGGUGGUGUCAGAAAUAGGAUGCCUGAAGCAAUCCUGCUGGAGCCUGGUCUUCAUACCAUCGUUUGGCAGUCCUGCUCCAGCCUGGCAGACCUGCAGGCGGCCGUGGAGAAGUGGCGGUUUCACAGCAAGACCAGCACAGAAGAAAAAGCUCAUCUGCUGGGGCUGCAGCAAGAGGGGGAACUGGCUUCUGCCCAAGCCUGUUGACAGACGCGGGGUUGUCAACUUUGGCCAUCUGGCUGGUGUGAGAUUUUCAAUUCGAGACAAUUCUGUACAUGCAUUUACAUGUAUGUAACAGUUUAAUUACCUUGUAAACAGUCUGAAAGAUUUACAAACUGAUGUAGCUAAUUUUAGGUUUAUAAUGGAAUAAUUCAGAUUUGCUAUAGCAUCUCUGAAAACAUGAGUGUCCGCGCCAGAUGUGUGAGAGCUGGCAACCCUGCAGAUGAGAUAGCAGUAGUACUGUGAGGGAGGUGUUGUCCUAUUCUUCUGAAGUGCUCUGGAUUCAUGCAGUGUGUCCUCGAGUUAUUCCUGCCAGCAUACUGGUCACCGAUCUGAGACGAUGUCGGUGACUAAAGAAGGCAGGGACUACUGCGGACUCCGAACACUCACCACCCAUCGAGGGCUUCUGACUCUCCAGCUGCGAUGAGCCUCAGUGUGACCCCAGCUACAACCGCAACCAGCAGAGGCAGCAGGCUGAGGCUGUUCUGCUCGGCCGCGAAGAGGCGUGCCGUAGAUGGGAGGCCCAGCUGAAUCGGGAGCUUUGCGAGUUGGACGAGCAGUGGGAGGCGGACCGGCAAGACAAAGAGUGGCUGCGUGAGUCCCGCAAAGCAGGAGUGGCAUGAGUUGGAGCAGCUGUGCGACAAACUGACCAGCUAGGAGCAAGCGCGCGACAGCCAGAGGCAGUAGGCUGUUAGCCGAAGCUUCGCUACUUGGCUAGGGGGAGGUGUGUCGCAGCUUGGAGGACCGGAGAAGGGGUGGUGCUCCCUGGAGAAGCUGCCUGAGCAGCUAGCUUGUUAGCUUGGGGCAGGAGGCCAAGGAGGAUACACUACUUUACCAUGAGGGGGCAUGCCUCACUCUGGAAGCCCAGCUGGCUGAGGAAUGCCAUGAGCUGGAGGAGCAGUGUGGCCAGUAUCAUCUGGACUUGGAGCUGCUGUGCCAGGCCACUCGAUAUGGGGAACAGGAGGGGCAGCAGGAUCUCUCUAAGCUGUGUAAGGGGAAGGGGAAGGUGCCAAUUGGGACCUGCAAUGCCAGGACCCACCAGCAGCCCAGCGUCUGCCAGCCUCCCGGUCUCAUCAGCCUUGCCAGUACUCACGAGAGGGCAGCUCCCCCCAUCAUCUGCACUGGUGGCUGCAACCGGACCACUAGGACUUGUUUCAGAACUGAGAUUGGGACUGGGUGUGAUCACUGGGAUGGUCGACCUUUGAGGGGGGCCCAGUGUAGACCUCCUUGUGUUUCCCCGUUAAUUGUGGUUCAGAGUGUGAUUUCCAUUUGUGUUAGACCUUUUAAGAGCUAUCAUUAAAGAGCCAUCUUGUUGAAA